AGAGUUUGAUCCUGGCUCAGGAUGAACGCUAGCGGCAGGCUUAAUACAUGCAAGUCGUGGGGCAGCGCAGGUAGCAAUACUGGGCGGCGACCGGCAAACGGGUGCGGAACACGUACACAACCUUCCGAUAAGUGGGGAUAGCCCAGAGAAAUUUGGAUUAAUACCCCGUAACAUAGCGAUGUGGCAUCACAUUGCUAUUAUAGCUUCGGCGCUUAUUGAUGGGUGUGCGGCUGAUUAGAUAGUUGGCGGGGUAACGGCCCACCAAGUCUACGAUCAGUAGCUGAUGUGAGAGCAUGAUCAGCCACACGGGCACUGAGACACGGGCCCGACUCCUACGGGAGGCAGCUGUAAGGAAUUUUGGUCAAUGGACGCAAGUCUGAACCAGCCAUGCCGCGUGAAGGAUUAAGGUCCUCUGGAU
rnacentral:rRNA from 1 species